GGAAAACAUGGUAAAAUGACCUACCGUUUGGAAAAGGGUAAGUCGUUUUCCAUCGUUCUGCAACUCCCUUGCUCCACACCGAAAACAAUUCGUUCUCUCGUCCCUUGCUCCACACCGAAAAAUUGACCGAUCCAAAGACUGGAUCCACUCAGAAAUCUUUGUCCCAGGUAUCCAUCAUUCAACCGGUAUCCGACUGCGGGCUCGCCAUUCUUUCGAUCUUAUCGCACUUCUAUUUACAAGAAGUCAUGAAUGUUAUUGACUGGUUGGGGAUUACAUUAGCUGGCAUUGGCACCAUAGGAGUUGGCGCCGGUGGAGAGGAGCAAGAGGCUUCUUCAGUAUCUAUUUUGCAGUUACCACGGUUGGCAUUCUCUGUUGUGAUAUUGUUUGUAG